GAUGAACGCUGGCGGCGUGCCUAAUACAUGCAAGUCGAGCGGAAAGGCCCUUCGGGGUACUCGAGCGGCGGACGGGUGAGUAACGCGUAAGAAUGUACCCCAAAGUGAGGAAUAACUGCUCGAAAGAGUAGCUAAUGCCGCAUGUGCUCUUCGGAGGAAAGCUUUAUGCGCUUUGGGAACAGCUUGCGUCUGAUUAGCUAGUUGGUAAGGUAACGGCUUACCAAGGCGACGAUCAGUAGCUGGUCUGAGAGGAUGAUCAGCCACACUGGGACUGAGACACGGCCCAGACUCCUACGGGAGGCAGCAGUAGGGAAUUUUCCACAAUGGACGAGAGUCUGAUGGAGCAACGCCGCGUGCUGGAUGAAGGCCUUCGGGUCGUAAACAGCUUUUGUCUGUGACGAAUAUGACGGUAGCAGACGAAUAAGGAUCGGCUAACUACGUGCCAGCCGCCGCGGUAA
rnacentral:rRNA from 1 species